AUGGUCUCUCUUUUUUUUUUAAUUAUUUUAAAAAAAUAAAACCUUUGAUAAGACUAAUAAAAAAUGGAGUAAAAAUAUAUAAACCGGUGAAAACCCUAACUCCAUCCUUAUGCUCAUCAGCCGCCACCCUUCUCUCUCCAGUUUCAUUUCGAUCUGAUCCUCCUCCUCAAUUAUUUCUAGAUCUCUCCAAGUUUCAUUCAUCAUGCCGUCCGUUUACGCCGAUCGUAUGAUUACAUUCGAGGAUUCUGAGAAGGAGAGCGAGUACGGUUACAUUUGUAAGGGUAAAAAGUGUAAUAAAAUAAGAUUGAUGAUUUUGCUUGUUGAAUGGUUCGGUUGGCAAGAUGUUGCACAAGAUCUGUCAAGAACACCAUUGUUUUUAGUAUUUUUUUUACAAUAGUAUGGGUUUCGUACGUAGUAUAAUAUUUUGCAAGUAUAUUGAUGAUUAUUAUCCAAAUAAUAUGGGUCUUGUACCGUUGUACGUAGUAUAACUUUUAGUAUGAGUUAUGUAUAAAUUUUAACAAGUACGAACUACUUGUAUUUCGUUGUAAAUUUAAAGUGCAUUUUUUUAAUUAAAAUUA